CUGAGACUCAGGGGGAGAGGACAUAGAGCCCACUUCUCCAUGACAUUUGCUCUGAUGGGGGGUCCCAACUGCCCCAAUAGCUUUGGACAUCCCAUGUGUAUUGCUUGAAUGAGCAGGACCCCAGGGUUCUUCCAGAGGAGCAGAAGUCUCAGCAUCUGUUGAGUGUCUACGGCACAACACACACGUUCUGGUGCUGGAGAUCCUGCCCUGGCUGAGCUUCUGGACCUGGUGGGGAGAAAUCCACAAUGAGUACUGAGACGACCGGCAAAAGCCCGGUGAAGGCACCUAGGAGGAGGGCCUGCUUACCCUGGAGGAGUCGGGAGCAGCUUCCAGAGCGAGGAGCCUUCUAAGAUGUUUUGUUCUUUGUCAGCAUAAGUACCUGGGAUCUUACAUGUAGCCCCUGCAUCAUUUCAGAAAUGAUCUCCAGUGCCCAGGCUGUGAUGCUCAACAGACCCAAACUUACAUCCAACCUGAACAAGCGGCUUUUGCUCUCCAGGCCUUCAUUGCCCCACAGUGGGAACAAUAAUAAUAUGCACCUUCUAGGUACCCACAAGCACAAGAGACAGUAAAUGGAAAGUGCUUGGGAGCCCCGUGCCCAGGUGGUGCUGGCCCCAGCUGGACUGCGGGGAUAGAUGUUGAAUGUCCAGGUUCUAGCAUUAUGGAACAGAAUCCGGCCUGUUGGGAAAUCCUGCCUACAAGCAUACCUCCAUUAAUUAGUGUCUUCCGUGAACAUUUUUAUUAAAAAAAGAAGAAAAGCUUCUCAACCCAA